rnacentral:rRNA from 1 species
UACGUAGGGUGCGAGCGUUGUCCGGAAUUAUUGGGCGUAAAGAGCUCGUAGGCGGCUUGUCGCGUCGGAUGUGAAAGCCCGGGGCUUAACCCCGGGCUUGCAGUGGAUACGGGCAGGCUGGAGGCAGGCAGGGGAGAACGGAAUUCCCGGUGUAGCGGUGAAAUGCGCAGAUAUCGGGAGGAACACCGGUGGCGAAGGCAGCUCUCUGGGCCGAUACUGACGCUGAGGAGCGAAAGCGUGGGGAGCGAACAGG